CUCUCCCCUCCUGAGCCAGAAGUGGGUGCUGCUCUUUUCUCCUUGCUUCCAGCAGGAUCUGAAGAAGGCAGACUGUGGACUGGCCCCAUCUUGGAGGGCUCUAUGUGAGGAGGGGCAAGACUGUCUUUGUGCAGUUUGGGGACCAGGUUCCACUCGGCCUCAUAAAGUGAAGUUGGGAGUAUUGCCUCUCCUUCUGUAAGAGUCUGAGAACUUGGAGUCAGCAGUGUCUAGUUCCAGCCUGAGCCUGCUAAGACUGGCUGGGACCACCAACCCUAAAAUUGGGCCAUACAUAGGU